rnacentral:tRNA from 6 species
GCCCAGAUAGCUCAGUUGGUAGAGCAAAGGACUGAAAAUCCUUGUGUCGGUGGUUCGAUUCCACCUCUGGGCACCA